AGUGAACGCUGGCGGUAGGCCUAACACAUGCAAGUCGAACGGCAGCACAGUAAGAGCUUGCUCUUACGGGUGGCGAGUGGCGGACGGGUGAGGAAUACAUCGGAAUCUACUUUUUCGUGGGGGAUAACGUAGGGAAACUUACGCUAAUACCGCAUACGACCUACGGGUGAAAGCAGGGGAUCUUCGGACCUUGCGCGAUUGAAUGAGCCGAUGUCGGAUUAGCUAGUUGGCGGGGUAAAGGCCCACGAAGGCGACGAUCCGUAGCUGGUCUGAGAGGAUGGUCGGCCACCCUGGAACUGAGCCACGGUCCAGACUCCUACGGGAGGCAGCAGUGGGGAAUAUUGGACAAUGGGCGCAAGCCUGAUCCAGCCAUACCGCGUGGGUGAAGAAGGCCUUCGGGUUGUAAAGCCCUUUUGUUGGGAAAGAAAAGCAGCAGGUUAAUACCCCGCUGUUCUGACGGUACCCAAAGAAUAAGCACCGGCUAACUUCGUG
rnacentral:rRNA from 1 species